GAGGGUAUAGCUCAGUGGUAGAGGGUAUGCUUGGCAUGCGCGAGGUCCUGGGUUCAAUCCCAGUACCUCCA
rnacentral:tRNA from 1 species